GGAUGUCUGCUUCGACCUAUUCUUGACCGCAGCACAUUCGUUUUCCUUACAGUAUGUAGUACGCAUUCUACCUUUUUCUACAAUGAAUCCACCAGCAGAAAUUCCUGUACACAUCUUAUCAACAAAGAAUUUGAACCUCAAAGAGUGGCUCAAAGAGGUCAGGAGGCACCUUCAACACUUUUGUUGGAGAUCUCCUUGUCUAGAUCAUCAGAUUCUCACUCUGUCACCUAGGCUGCAGUGCAGUGGUGCGAUCUCAACUCACUGCAACCUCUACCUCCUGGGUUCAAGCAAUUCUCCUGCCUCAGCCUCCCAAGUAGCUGGGAUUACAGGAAUUACACACUAAUAGUGAAGAACAGGUGGCACCUGAAAUCACAGAAAAUUUAUUUGUCCUCAAUGCAAAGAUGAACUAUGAAGAGCACUUUAUUGUGUUUGAAGAAUAUAGGAAUGAUGAGUGAAAUGGUGAAGGAAGUGGAUAAACAAUGAUGUAACGACUGAGCGUCAUCUUGCAACUGAAUAAGCCAGUGAGGAACUUGGUAAAUUUGUUGAUUAUAUUUAGUUUUACAAUGUUUAAUUCUUUAUUAUUUUGAAGUGAUGUAUUUUAUUAUUAGGAAUGAUCAAUAGUAAUGCAUCCUCCAAAACUGUGGAAAGAUCAUAUUGUGCAAACUAGAGCAAAAAAUCACAUUCCUCUUGCAUGGGCAUGAAAUCUUUAUCAAAUGACAUCAGGCACUGAAGCAGCUAUCUGAUACCU
rnacentral:antisense_RNA from 1 species